ACCGCGACUCCCUCGACUCCAGCUUCUCCGACGCAGGCAGAUUUUUGCACCAAUAGGAUUGGCACUAGAGGAAGGACUGUGUCUUCGUAGUACCCUUGUUCUUAAAGGAGCGCUCAACGGGACCGCCUCCGGUCAUCUUUUUCGACGUCCUCUCCUCCUUCCCCCACUAGAUCUUCGCCUGAUGCCUUCCCGCGAAGCAUCCACAUGGCGACCCACGACCUCCGCGGCC
rnacentral:lncRNA from 1 species